AAGACCUUGCGCUUUUGGAGCGGCCGAUGCCUGAUUAGCCUGUUGGUAAGGUAAAAGCUUACCAAGGCUUCGAUCAGUAGCUGGUCUGAGAGGACGGCCAGCCACACUGGGACUGAGACACGGCCCAGACUCCUACGGGAGGCAGCAGUGGGGAAUUUUGGACAAUGGGGGCAACCCUGAUCCAGCCAUGCCGCGUGAGUGAAGAAGGCCUUCGGGUUGUAAAGCUCUUUCAGCCGGAACGAAACGGUUACGGUUAAUACUCGUGACUACUGACGGUACCGGAAGAAGAAGCACCGGCUAACUACGUGCCAGCAGCCGCGGUAAUACGUAGGGUGCGAGCGUUAAUCGGAAUUACUGGGCGUAAAGCGUGCGCAGGUGGUUUUGUAAGUCAGAUGUGAAAGCCCCGGGCUCAACCUGGGAACU
rnacentral:rRNA from 1 species